UGGAAACGCUUUGUCGCACACAAGAAGUGUAUGAAGAAAACUGCAAAUUCUAGUCACGCUAAAAUUAGUGUCGCUUUUUGGUUCGGUGUAUGAAUGUAUCUUGCCUAUAUAGUCUUCAUCUAACGAAAGCAGAAGAAAUGAAAGGUUGGGUUUUGAAAAAGAAUUGCACAACGAAAAUAAUAUUUGGACUUUUUGUCGUCAACAUUGUAUUUUUGCAACUUUAUCGACUCUAUGGUCAUCAUGUUCAGUUUAACGUACCUAAUGGAUCUGAACUUUCAUUGAACAAGUUCUUGAUCAUUGAUACCACAACACAUAAAACAACAGAAGUUUCUAUAAGCAAGAUGAGACAAAAAGAAAUAAAUCCUAAUGCUGCCAACGAAAACACAGAGACGUCGGAAGCUUUAUCUGUGAGCUUAUUCAUGCGGCUAACUUCCAUUCACAAAAAACGAUUUUACUGUGAUUUUCUGAGGACUAUGGUUUUAUUCUGGCCUUCAUCAUAUGGAAUGUUGGUCUUGGUGUUUGACAAAGAGUCUGCCAAUGAUAGAGCUCUAGCAAAGAUCGUUAGAGCUCAGUUUAGUAGAUCCUUCUCUGAUCGCAUCCUUGAAAUUGCUUUUGAGCCUUUACCACGUAACCACGAUACACUUUUAAAACUCCCUUGGCGCAGUCGAGGUACAGGUUACAACAGACAAAUCUGGAGUAGCUUUUACAUUGAUUUGUACACAAAAAGUUCAAUAAUUGCUUGGGUUGAUUCAGACAGUGCAUUUGCAGCUGCCGUUACUCGUCAUUCGAUGUUUAAUGGUACACGACUUCGAGUUAUUGGUACUGACUGUACGUUGAAAGAAUCGCAUUUUAUUAGAUCGUGUGAUAAAAGCGUGUUACUUUCUCUUGGAUUACCUGCCGUGAGUGACUUCAUGUUGCAUUUCCCAGUUUAUAUUUAUCGCAACACAUUUAAAAAUUGUAGAAAGUAUUUAAUCAAGCGACAUCAAUCAGAAGAUUUUGAAGAAGUAUAUAAAUACAUAAGUGCUCGAAGCAAAAUUUGUCCAGUAACUACAGUGCUUAACUAUGCCUGGCACUUUGAGAGAGAUCAAUACGACUGGAGCUUUAAAAUUUGCUCUGGCCCUUUGGAUAAAUUUAACAGGCGCUUUCAAUCUAAAGCUAAAAUUAGAACAGAAGAUAUCAGACCGAUCUUAGCAAAUCCUCAGUUAAGUGUACAUACGGGAAAACCUAAUUCAGCAUUUGAAUCAGCUCAAUUAAUUUUAACUAGCUACUGCUUGUCAAACAAGGAGGCUGGAUUAAAAGCAAGACACUGCAUAAAUGAAAGUGACUAUCAAAUUACCAACAGUUUAAUUCUUUUCAAAUAUGGGAGAGCACCGGAGACGUGUGUUGGAAACAUGAAAGGAAUAUGUCUUGACAUUCUAAAGAGACAUUAUCGCCUAGUUGGCUCAGAAAUAAAAAGUAAAAAAACGUACAAUGGACUGGAACGACGUAGAGAAAGUUGAAGCUUUUGCAAAAGAAGUCGGAAGUAGUUGUCCAGUAAUUCAUAACGGCAGACCUGGAAAAAAGAUCCCAAUUGUUUGAAUUGUUUGUUAAAUAGGCACACACAUUUAAAUGAGGAAAAUCUAAGGUCUGGUUCUGGGUGUCUUUUAAAGUAUUAUCAUAUUCUGGUAAAUCUACAGAGAACUUAUGAAGAAAAUAUCUUGAACUAGGAGAUGAAAAGAACGAAAUUUAGAAAUUCUAUACAUUCAGACAUUUGUACAAAGGUGAAUAUUGUUUAAAAAUAAAAGUCUCUAUGGGUUUUAUAAAUAAUUUUACUGAGCUUUUGACUCGGUUUGUCAAGCCUUCUUAAGAAAAGAUGUAAAUAAUAAUGCAAAAACAAUGUAAUUAGCUUAGAACUUCUGAUUCUGAAGUAGGCUCGUAGCACCGAGUUGCAAACUCAAGUCGGGAGAAACUUUUAUUUUUAAACAAUAUAAUACCUGGAUAUACACACUUCAAGCUUAUUAAAAGAAAAUAUAAGAUAUGCUCAAAAGAACUAGAAAAUGGGAAUUAUUCGCUCGCAAAAAGUAUACAUGAAGUGCAUAACAAUGUGUCUUGAUAGUAAUUUUAAGCACUUGUUGAAGCAAUAGAAUGUAUUUGGCAACAGUUUUACAAAGUUAUUAUAAUGGAAAAGCAAUCUUUUCAAAUAAAGUAUGGAGUUUUAAUCGCUUUAGUAAUCCAUGUUUUUUUUUUAAAUCUGUUUACUGCCCAUGCAAUGAUGGACUGUGCUGUAAAGAUGAGUUGCAAAGAAGUUUGCGAAAAUGUGUAACAUUGGCAAAUGUGCUGAAUAAGAUUGCAAAUAAAGAUAAGAGUUGAA